rnacentral:rRNA from 1 species
AUUGGGACUGAGACACGGCCCAAACUCCUACGGGAGGCAGCAGUAGGGAAUUUUCGUCAAUGGGGGGAACCCUGAACGAGCAAUGCCGCGUGAGUGAGGAAGGUCUUCGGAUCGUAAAGCUCUGUUGUAAGAGAAAAACGGCACUCAUAGGGAAUGAUGAGUGAGUGAUGGUAUCUUACCAGAAAGUCACGGCUAACUACGUGCCAGCAGCCGCGGUAAUACGUAGGUGGCGAGCGUUAUCCGGAAUGAUUGGGCGUAAAGGGUGCGUAGGUGGCAGAUCAAGUCUGGAGUAAAAGGUAUGGGCUCAACCCGUACUGGCUCUGGAAACUGAUCAGCUAGAGAACAGAAGAGGACGGCGGAACUCCAUGUGUAGCGGUAAAAUGCGUAGAUAUAUGGAAGAACACCGGUGGCGAAGGCGGCCGUCUGGUCUGGAUUCUGACACUGAAGCACGAAAGCGUGGGGAGCAAAUAGGAUUAGAUACCCUAGUAGUCCACGCCGUAAACGAUGAGAACUAGGUGUUGGGGGAAUAACUCAGUGCCGCAGUUAACGCAGUAAGUUCUCCGCCUGGGGAGUAUGCACGCAAGUGUGAAACUCAAAGGAAUUGACGGGGGCCCGCACAAGCGGUGGAGUAUGUGGUUUAAUUCGAAGCAACGCGAAGAACCUUACCAGGCCUUGACAUCCCUUGCAGAGGUAUAGAGAUAUAUCCGAGGUUAUCAAGGAGACAGGUGGUGCAUGGUUGUCGUCAGCUCGUGUCGUGAGAUGUUGGGUUAAG